rnacentral:rRNA from 1 species
AAGCGGUGGAGCAUGUGGUUUAAUUCGAUGAUACGCGAGGAACCUUACCUGGGCUCAAAUGUAUGUUGACGUAUUCUGAAAGGGAUACUUCUUCGGACAAUAUACAAGGUGCUGCAUGGUUGUCGUCAGCUCGUGCCGUGAGGUGUCGGGUUAAGUCCCAUAACGAGCGCAACCCCUACCUUUAGUUGCCAUCAGGUUAAGCUGGGGACUCUAAAGGAACUGCCUACGCAAGUAGUGAGGAAGGCGGGGAUGACGUCAAAUCAGCACGGCCCUUACGUCCAGGGCUACACACGUGCUACAAUGGCCGAUACAGAGGGCAGCUACCUGGUGACAGGAUGCAAAUCUCCAAAGUCGGUCUCAGUUCGGAUCGGAGUCUGCAACCCGACUCCGUGAAGUUGGAUUCGCUAGUAAUCGCGCAUCAGCCAUGGCGCGGUGAAUACGUUCCCGGCCUU